rnacentral:rRNA from 1 species
CCUACGGGUGGCAGCAGUGAGGAAUAUUGGUCAAUGGACGCGAGUCUGAACCAGCCAAGUAGCGUGCAGGAUGACGGCCCUAUGGGUUGUAAACUUCUUUUAUAUGGGAAUAAAAUGAUCCACGUGUGGCUUUUUGUAUGUACCAUAUGAAUAAGGAUCGGCUAACUCCGUGCCAGCAGCCGCGGUAAUACGGAGGAUCCGAGCGUUAUCCGGAUUUAUUGGGUUUAAAGGGAGCGUAGGUGGCUUGUUAAGUCAGUUGUGAAAGUCUGCGGCUCAACCGUGAAAUUGCAGUUGAAACUGGCAGUCUUGAGUGCAGUAGAGGUGGGCGGAAUUCGUGGUGUAGCGGUGAAAUGCUUAGAUAUCACGAAGAACUCCGAUUGCGAAGGCAGCUCACUGGAGUGCAACUGACACUGAGGCUCGAAAGUGUGGGUAUCAAACAGGAUUAGAUACCCUAGUAGUC